GAAAUGCGAUAAGUAAUGUGAAUUGCAGAAUUCAGCGAACCAUCGAAUCUUUGAACGCACAUUGCGCCCCCUGGCAUUCCGGGGGGCACGCCUGUCCGAGCGUCAUCCAAACCCUCGAGCCCGGCUCGGUGUUGGGCGCCUGCGGAGUCCGCAGCCCCGAAAGUCAGCGACGCACGCCCCGGGACUCGGGUGUAGUAAGCAUCUGACCUCGCCCUGGAGACCGGUGCGGCCGUCGGCCUAGCCCCCGUGGGCUCUUCCACGUUGACCUCGGAUCAGGUGGGAAUACCCGCUGAACUUAA
rnacentral:misc_RNA from 1 species